rnacentral:rRNA from 1 species
GUCUAUGGCCAUACCAGCCUGAACAUGCCUGAACUCAUUUCACAAUCUUGUCUCAUCUUGGAAGCUAAGCAGGGUCAGGCCUGGUUAGUACUUAGAUGGGAGACUACGUGGGAAUACCCAGUGUGUAGGCU